ACCUAUCCAAUGUGUUUAAAUUUAUAUGGCAAAUAGUUAAGCAGAUUUUUGCAAGUGACUUAUGCCUGAUAAUGAAUUUUGUGAUGAUUUGUUUGAAUGACCCUGUAGGUAGUCUUGUAACUCAGGAAGGAAACCCAUCAUGUUUUGAUGCACUCGAUAUGCCUGUUUAUAACUAGCUGAGUCAACAAGCUAAAUUUUUCUUCAUGGUGUUGGAAUAUUAAGGUCACGGUGUGCUGUCAAACAGAGAUUUGGAAAUCCCUUCUAAAAAUGAAGCUGGGAUAUGGUGAAGCACACCUCUGACUCCUUUAUAAAAUCAAUUUUGAAUUGGUUGUCUUAUUCCACUCCCUUGGCUGUGAGACAAGGAAAGAAAGAGAAGGCCACUGCUGAAGAGCAUCUUGAGACUACAGUGCUGUAUGAAGCCCAACUUUGGACAGAGGGAUGGAAUUUGGCAGAGUCUAAGGACUCAUGCCUCAGGAUACCAUGGUUCCUGACUUUUGGCUCUCUCUCUGUUACCCUGAAUGUCUCAACUUUACCUCUCAGAUAA
rnacentral:lncRNA from 1 species